AGCCACUUCAGAUUGAAAUACCAGUUCUCAAAAAUGAUCACUGAAGUUAAGCAAUGUUGAGCUGGCUCAGUACCUAAAUAGGUGACCACUUGAGAAUACCAGGUGCUGUAAG